rnacentral:rRNA from 1 species
UACGUAGGGGGCAAGCGUUGUCCGGAUUUAUUGGGCGUAAAGAGCGUGUAGGCGGCCAGACAGGUCCGUUGUGAAAACUCGAGGCUCAACCUCGAGACGUCGAUGGAAACCGUCUGGCUAGAGUCCGGAAGAGGAGAGUGGAAUUCCGUGGUGUAGCGGUGAAAUGCGCAGAUAUCAGGAAGAACACCCGUGGCGAAGGCGGCUCUCUGGGACGGUACUGACGCUGAGACGCGAAAGCGUGGGGAGCGAACAGG